CCCCACCCAGUUCUUGGGUCUCUGGGUCUGGGGUUCUCCUGUCUGGGAAGAAGCCCAGGGUCCCAUCCUCGCCUUGCUUGGCGGACAGGCAGCCCUGGAGGGGGCGUUUCCCUCCAUCAGCAACCCAAAGGGCACCCAGCCCGAGGAACUGGCAGAGAGGGUCGGACACUGGGACAAACACUCGUAAAUCAGGGCUGUCCCGAUUAAAUCAGGCAUGGAUGGCAAGUAAGUUAUUAGCUGCCUGUGAAACUAAUUGUGAUACGGAUACAGUCAUUUUUGCAAUGUCUUUCAAACACCAGUUGUGAUGGGAAACAGCUGUUAGAUCCAGGAAAAAAAAUAAAAGGAAGGAAAGAAAAGAAGAGAGCUCCGGAUUCAAAAUCAUAAUAAUGUCUGUCUUCUCUAUUCCCUUUCACAAAAGCUCUUAGAUUCUCCUAUUCUCUCUAGACAAUUACUCACAGCAGGCGGGUCAGCCAGGAGGAGCGCAGGAUUGCAUUUAAAGUUCAUCUACUGAGGGGGAAAGACAGAAAGAGAAAAAAGGAUCCCUUCUGUUAAUGGGGGGGUGGGGGAUGGCAUGUUUAAAAUAGGUUAGAGAUUCAGGUUAAAAGGGGGAGAAGAAGUCACAGAAUAGGAGUCGAGACAUAAAUGGUGCCGUUUGACUGCUGGCUUAGUCUAUAAGCACGGAUGCAAGGGGAAGGUGUUUAGAGUCUUCAUUUAAGGCAGCAAUGAAGAAGCUCUUCCUGAGAAGCAGAGCAUGUUGUUCAUAACAUCGUGAAAGGAGAGGGAGUGGGAAGAAUCGGCCCUCCCAGGGCUGCCCUGCGAGGAGCCUUCAGCCUCCAGCCUUCAGCGCCACGUUUCCAGCCUCCUGUUUGUUCUUCAGCAAUGUUUGUAUACAGCAUCUUACAAGACAUCUUUUCAAUGUAGUAACCCUGUGUCAUUACUUAAUGCCUCAUACUUGAUGCUGCCUGGGGUGGAGAGACAGCAAGUCACCCACCCAUAGGAGCUUGUUUCCACACUGCUUCCAGUGGGCUCUCCGGGCAAGGCCACCGCCUUCCCUGCUGGCUGUCCUGGUGUCCUGUGCCUUGAGACCCCCAGGAACCCCUUGAGAGCCUGUUCUGAGCUGGGACUUGUCUAUCCUCCUCUGGGUCCUGAACACUCAAUCAGUCCUGGAAUGGAGCAAAAUCCUUUUGUCUAGCACAGGCCAAGUUUUGAGAGUUCUUCCCCUGCUUUUUGAUUUCAGCAAGGCAAUAAAUAAACUUAAAAUAUGGAUGCCUAUGACUCGGUCCUUUAUUUCUCAUCUCCAAGAUAAUGAACUCGAAGACUAUUAAAGUUGUACAGAUAAUUAGAGGCCAUGGAUCAAAUGCCUCAUGGCCCCCUGUUUGUGAACAUUAAGAUGUGCUCUGCCC
rnacentral:lncRNA from 1 species